rnacentral:rRNA from 1 species
AUUGAACGCUGGCGGCAUGCCUAACACAUGCAAGUCGAACGGCAGCACGGCAGUAGCAAUACUGUGGGUGGCGAGUGGCGGACGGGUGAGGAAUACGUCGGAAUCUGCCCAGUCGUGGGGGAUAACUAGCCGAAAGGUUAGCUAAUACCGCAUACGACCGAGAGGUGAAAGCGGGGGACCGCAAGGCCUCGCGCGAUUGGAUGAGCCGACGUCGGAUUAGCUAGUUGGUGGGUAAAGGCCCACCAAGGCGACGAUCCGUAGCUGGUCUGAGAGGAUGAUCAGCCACACUGGAACUGAGACACGGUCCAGACUCCUACGGGAGGCAGCAGUGGGGAAUAUUGGACAAUGGGCGCGAGCCUGAUCCAGCAAUGCCGCGUGUGUGAAGAAGGCCUCGG